rnacentral:rRNA from 1 species
UUAAGCGACUAAGCGUACACGGUGGAUGCCCUGGCAGUCAGAGGCGAUGAAGGACGUGCUAAUCUGCGAUAAGCGUCGGUAAGGUGAUAUGAACCGUUAUAACCGGCGAUUUCCGAAUGGGGAAACCCAGUGUGAUUCGUCACACUAUCAUUAACUGAAUCCAUAGGUUAAUGAGGCGAACCGGGGGAACUGAAACAUCUAAGUACCCCGAGGAAAAGAAAUCAACCGAGAUUCCCCCAGUAGCGGCGAGCGAACGGGGAGGAGCCCAGAGCCUGAAUCAGUGUGUGUGUUAGUGGAAGCGUCUGGAAAGGCGCGCGAUACAGGGUGACAGCCCCGUACACAAAAAUGCACAUGCUGUGAGCUCGAUGAGUAGGGCGGGACACGUGGUAUCCUGUCUGAAUAUGGGGGGACCAUCCUCCAAGGCUAAAUACUCCUGACUGACCGAUAGUGAACCAGUACCGUGAGGGAAAGGCGAAAAGAACCCCGGCGAGGGGAGUGAAAAAGAACCUGAAACCGUGUACGUACAAGCAGUGGGAGCACGCUUAGGCGUGUGACUGCGUACCUUUUGUAUAAUGGGUCAGCGACUUAUAUUCUGUAGCAAGGUUAACCGAAUAGGGGAGCCGAAGGGAAACCGAGUCUUAACUGGGCGUUAAGUUGCAGGGUAUAGACCCGAAACCCGGUGAUCUAGCCAUGGGCAGGUUGAAGGUUGGGUAACACUAACUGGAGGACCGAACCGACUAAUGUUGAAAAAUUAGCGGAUGACUUGUGGCUGGGGGUGAAAGGCCAAUCAAACCGGGAGAUAGCUGGUUCUCCCCGAAAGCUAUUUAGGUAGCGCCUCGUGAAUUCAUCUCCGGGGGUAGAGCACUGUUUCGGCAAGGGGGUCAUCCCGACUUACCAACCCGAUGCAAACUGCGAAUACCGGAGAAUGUUAUCACGGGAGACACACGGCGGGUGCUAACGUCCGUCGUGAAGAGGGAAACAACCCAGACCGCCAGCUAAGGUCCCAAAGUCAUGGUUAAGUGGGAAACGAUGUGGGAAGGCCCAGACAGCCAGGAUGUUGGCUUAGAAGCAGCCAUCAUUUAAAGAAAGCGUAAUAGCUCACUGGUCGAGUCGGCCUGCGCGGAAGAUGUAACGGGGCUAAACCAUGCACCGAAGCUGCGGCAGCGACGCUUAUGCGUUGUUGGGUAGGGGAGCGUUCUGUAAGCCUGUGAAGGUGUACUGUGAGGUAUGCUGGAGGUAUCAGAAGUGCGAAUGCUGACAUAAGUAACGAUAAAGCGGGUGAAAAGCCCGCUCGCCGGAAGACCAAGGGUUCCUGUCCAACGUUAAUCGGGGCAGGGUGAGUCGACCCCUAAGGCGAGGCCGAAAGGCGUAGUCGAUGGGAAACAGGUUAAUAUUCCUGUACUUGGUGUUACUGCGAAGGGGGGACGGAGAAGGCUAUGUUGGCCGGGCGACGGUUGUCCCGGUUUAAGCGUGUAGGCUGGUUUUCCAGGCAAAUCCGGAAAAUCAAGGCUGAGGCGUGAUGACGAGGCACUACGGUGCUGAAGCAACAAAUGCCCUGCUUCCAGGAAAAGCCUCUAAGCAUCAGGUAACAUCAAAUCGUACCCCAAACCGACACAGGUGGUCAGGUAGAGAAUACCAAGGCGCUUGAGAGAACUCGGGUGAAGGAACUAGGCAAAAUGGUGCCGUAACUUCGGGAGAAGGCACGCUGAUAUGUAGGUGAAGUCCCUCGCGGAUGGAGCUGAAAUCAGUCGAAGAUACCAGCUGGCUGCAACUGUUUAUUAAAAACACAGCACUGUGCAAACACGAAAGUGGACGUAUACGGUGUGACGCCUGCCCGGUGCCGGAAGGUUAAUUGAUGGGGUCAGCGCAAGCGAAGCUCUUGAUCGAAGCCCCGGUAAACGGCGGCCGUAACUAUAACGGUCCUAAGGUAGCGAAAUUCCUUGUCGGGUAAGUUCCGACCUGCACGAAUGGCGUAAUGAUGGCCAGGCUGUCUCCACCCGAGACUCAGUGAAAUUGAACUCGCUGUGAAGAUGCAGUGUACCCGCGGCAAGACGGAAAGACCCCGUGAACCUUUACUAUAGCUUGACACUGAACAUUGAGCCUUGAUGUGUAGGAUAGGUGGGAGGCUUUGAAGUGUGGACGCCAGUCUGCAUGGAGCCGACCUUGAAAUACCACCCUUUAAUGUUUGAUGUUCUAACGUUGACCCGUGAUCCGGGUUGCGGACAGUGUCUGGUGGGUAGUUUGACUGGGGCGGUCUCCUCCUAAAGAGUAACGGAGGAGCACGAAGGUUGGCUAAUCCUGGUCGGACAUCAGGAGGUUAGUGCAAUGGCAUAAGCCAGCUUGACUGCGAGCGUGACGGCGCGAGCAGGUGCGAAAGCAGGUCAUAGUGAUCCGGUGGUUCUGAAUGGAAGGGCCAUCGCUCAACGGAUAAAAGGUACUCCGGGGAUAACAGGCUGA